GGCGAGGCCGAAAGGCGUAGUCGAUGGGAAACAGGUUAAUAUUCCUGUACUUGGUGUUACUGCGAAGGGGGGACGGAGAAGGCUAUGUUGGCCGGGCGACGGUUGUCCCGGUUUAAGCGUGUAGGCUGGUUUUCCAGGCAAAUCCGGAAAAUCAAGGCUGAGGCGUGAUGACGAGGCACUACGGUGCUGAAGCAACAAAUGCCCUGCUUCCAGGAAAAGCCUCUAAGCAUCAGGUAACAUCAAAUCGUACCCCAAACCGACACAGGUGGUCAGGUAGAGAAUACCAAGGCGCUUGAGAGAACUCGGGUGAAGGAACUAGGCAAAAUGGUGCCGUAACUUCGGGAGAAGGCACGCUGAUAUGUAGGUGAAGUCCCUCGCGGAUGGAGCUGAAAUCAGUCGAAGAUACCAGCUGGCUGCAACUGUUUAUUAAAAACACAGCACUGUGCAAACACGAAAGUGGACGUAUACGGUGUGACGCCUGCCCGGUGCCGGAAGGUUAAUUGAUGGGGUUAGCCGCAAGGCGAAGCUCUUGAUCGAAGCCCCGGUAAACGGCGGCCGUAACUAUAACGGUCCUAAGGUAGCGAAAUUCCUUGUCGGGUAAGUUCCGACCUGCACGAAUGGCGUAAUGAUGGCCAGGCUGUCUCCACCCGAGACUCAGUGAAAUUGAACUCGCUGUGAAGAUGCAGUGUACCCGCGGCAAGACGGAAAGACCCCGUGAACCUUUACUAUAGCUUGACACUGAACAUUGAGCCUUGAUGUGUAGGAUAGGUGGGAGGCUUGGAAGUGUGGACGCCAGUCUGCAUGGAGCCGACCUUGAAAUACCACCCUUUAAUGUUUGAUGUUCUAACGUUGACCCGUAAUCCGGGUUGCGGACAGUGUCUGGUGGGUAGUUUGACUGGGGCGGUCUCCUCCUAAAGAGUAACGGAGGAGCACGAAGGUUGGCUAAUCCUGGUCGGACAUCAGGAGGUUAGUGCAAUGGCAUAAGCCAGCUUGACUGCGAGCGUGACGGCGCGAGCAGGUGCGAAAGCAGGUCAUAGUGAUCCGGUGGUUCUGAAUGGAAGGGCCAUCGCUCAACGGAUAAAAGGUACUCCGGGGAUAACAGGCUGAUACCGCCCAAGAGUUCAUAUCGACGGCGGUGUUUGGCACCUCGAUGUCGGCUCAUCACAUCCUGGGGCUGAAGUAGGUCCCAAGGGUAUGGCUGUUCGCCAUUUAAAGUGGUACGCGAGCUGGGUUUAGAACGUCGUGAGACAGUUCGGUCCCUAUCUGCCGUGGGCGCUGGAGAACUGAGGGGGCUGCUCCUAGUACGAGAGGACCGGAGUGGACGCAUCACUGGUGUUCGGGUUGUCAUGCCAAUGGCACUGCCCGGUAGCUAAAUGCGGAAGAGAUAAGUGCUGAAAGCAUCUAAGCACGAAACUUGCCCCGAGAUGAGUUCUCCCUGACUCCUUGAGAGUCCUGAAGGAACGUUGAAGACGACGACGUUGAUAGGCCGGGUGUGUAAGCGCAGCGAUGCGUUGAGCUAACCGGUACUAAUGAACCGUGAGGCUUAACCUU
rnacentral:rRNA from 1 species